GAUUCGUCACACUAUCAUUAACUGAAUCCAUAGGUUAAUGAGGCGAACCGGGGGAACUGAAACAUCUAAGUACCCCGAGGAAAAGAAAUCAACCGAGAUUCCCCCAGUAGCGGCGAGCGAACGGGGAGGAGCCCAGAGCCUGAAUCAGCAUGUGUGUUAGUGGAAGCGUCUGGAAAGGCGCGCGAUACAGGGUGACAGCCCCGUACACAAAAGCGCAUGUGCUGUGAGCUCGAUGAGUAGGGCGGGACACGUGGUAUCCUGUCUGAAUAUGGGGGGACCAUCCUCCAAGGCUAAAUACUCCUGACUGACCGAUAGUGAACCAGUACCGUGAGGGAAAGGCGAAAAGAACCCCGGCGAGGGGAGUGAAAAAGAACCUGAAACCGUGUACGUACAAGCAGUGGGAGCACCCUUCGGGGUGUGACUGCGUACCUUUUGUAUAAUGGGUCAGCGACUUAUAUUCUGUAGCAAGGUUAACCGUAUAGGGGAGCCGGAGGGAAACCGAGUCUUAACCGGGCGUUAAGUUGCAGGGUAUAGACCCGAAACCCGGUGAUCUAGCCAUGGGCAGGUUGAAGGUUGGGUAACACUAACUGGAGGACCGAACCGACUAAUGUUGAAAAAUUAGCGGAUGACCUGUGGCUGGGGGUGAAAGGCCAAUCAAACCGGGAGAUAGCUGGUUCUCCCCGAAAGCUAUUUAGGUAGCGCCUCGUGAAUUCAUCUCCGGGGGUAGAGCACUGUUUCGGCUAGGGGGCCAUCCCGGCUUACCAACCCGAUGCAAACUGCGAAUACCGGAGAAUGUUAUCACGGGAGACACACGGCGGGUGCUAACGUCCGUCGUGAAGAGGGAAACAACCCAGACCGCCAGCUAAGGUCCCAAAGUCAUGGUUAAGUGGGAAACGAUGUGGGAAGGCCCAGACAGCCAGGAUGUUGGCUUAGAAGCAGCCAUCAUUUAAAGAAAGCGUAAUAGCUCACUGGUCGAGUCGGCCUGCGCGGAAGAUGUAACGGGGCUAAACCAUGCACCGAAGCUGCGGCAGCGAACGUAUCACCCAAGACAACUUUACGGAGUUGACGAUUGACGGAGCGAAGCGACGUCAAAGCGUUCAUUAAAGUCGAGUUGGCUUAGGGAUACGUUCGUUGGGUAGGGGAGCGUUCUGUAAGCCUGUGAAGGUGUGUCGUGAGGCAUGCUGGAGGUAUCAGAAGUGCGAAUGCUGACAUAAGUAACGAUAAAGCGGGUGAAAAGCCCGCUCGCCGGAAGACCAAGGGUUCCUGUCCAACGUUAAUCGGGGCAGGGUGAGUCGACCCCUAAGGCGAGGCCGAAAGGCGUAGUCGAUGGGAAACGGGUUAAUAUUCCCGUACUUGGUGUUACUGCGAAGGGGGGACGGAGAAGGCUAUGUUGGCCGGGCGACGGUUGUCCCGGUUUAAGCGUGUAGGUGUGUGUUCCAGGUAAAUCCGGUUCACUUUAACACUGAGGCGUGACGACGAGGCACUACGGUGCUGAAGCAACAAAUGCCCUG
rnacentral:rRNA from 1 species